UAGUAUGAGUGUGUAUGUCUGUCGUUCUCAGCUGGUGUCAAAUAAAAAUCUCAGAAGAAAGUUUCGCGUUGCAGACAUUUAUUAUUACUCCUUGUGAAAAUAAUGUGUAGGCUGUGCUAACUCGGGCGAAUUAGCGCGUAAGCUGCAACGAGCAAAUUGAAUGCCACCGGAAAAAUGAGCGCUUGAACAUACGAAGAUGUUUGCGCGAGGAAAUAUGUGCGUCAAACCGUUCAAUGUGAAAUAUCGUCGGAAAAUCGCUGUUUUCAGUCUGUUACUGUUUAUCGCGGUUUUCUCCUCGGUAUUAGCCCUGUCGGAAGCCGUCAACUGCACGUCGGAUGCCGCCUGCAUGAACGGUGGAAUUUGCAAAAAUCGAUCUUGUGUUUGUCCAGACGGCUGGCAAGGUCCAUUCUGUCAGUACUGCGGCGGAAAAGUCAGGCUCACAGAUCCGGAAGGCAUUAUCCACGACGGCUUCGGGAACUAUUCGGUGAGCGUGAAAUGUAGUUGGCUUAUUGACGCUCGGGAUUACAGCAACAGCGUGUCCACAAAGUUCCGGCCGUUCCAGUCAAGAAUCCGCUUGCACCUGGAGGAAUUCGCCACGGAAUGCGGAUGGGAUCACUUGUACAUUUACGACGGCGACAGUGUGGAGUCGCCCUUGCUGGCGGUUUUCAGCGGUCUCAUGUACCGGAAGAACUUCCACAUAAGGCGUGUCCCGGAAAUCAUCGCCAAGUCGGGAUCGGCGCUGCUGCACUUUUUCAGUGACGAUGCCUACAACAUGUCGGGAUUCAACAUCUCAUACAAGAUCAACGGCUGCCCAACCAACAAUUCAGCACUUGAAUGUUCUGGACGCGGUAUAUGUGUCGAAGGCGAAUGUACAUGCGACGCACCAUUCAUUGGGGAAGCAUGCAAUGUUCCAAUAUGCCCAAACAACUGUUCCCACAGCCUGGGCCAAGGCGAGUGUGACAAAGAAGCACAUCGGUGUAAGUGCAAGUCGGGCUAUGCAGGAAUUGAUUGUACUCAGAUAGCAGCGCUAGGCGUGUGGUCAACCAUUACGACUGAAUUCAUUUCACCACCAGGAAGUGCAUCACAUGGAGCAGCCGUAUGGCGAGACACUCUUUACAUUAUUGGUGGCGAAACCUAUGACCGCGGUGAAUUGGUGUUUAUGUAUGAUUUUAACGGAAAUGUGUGGGAAACAGUGCAUCCAGUGAAUGUUAAUGCACCUGAGUUGAGAUACGGUGCCUCGACCGUACUGUAUGGUGAUAAGAUUUUCAUGUACGGCGGCGUGGUGAAUAAAAAGGGCAUUUGUGGCGAGCUAUGGGCGUUUGAUAUAAGUGCAAGAACUUGGGAAAAUAUAACCGUGAAGUCAGAUCCUUGCAACGCAACUUUAUUUUCGAUGUGUGGCCCAUUGAAAACGGCUGGGCAUUCGGCAACGCUUGUUCCUCGGCUUAGUGAUAAGAGUAGUUAUCAGUAUAUGGUUGUAAUAUUUGGACAUUCCCCUCAGUUCGGGUAUUUAAAUACUGUUCAAGAAUAUAAUUUUGUGACACGUGAGUGGAAAAUCGUCGAGACGAAUGGAUACGUGGUUAAAGGAGGAUACGGGCACAGCACAGCUUAUGAUCCUUUCACAGAGAAGAUUUACGUUUAUGGUGGAAUUGUGUCGGAAAGUGAAAGUAACCAAGUGCUCAACAACAAACUGUACGCAUAUGAGCCGUCAACUAGGACGUGGUCGUUAUUAUCAUCAGCUCCCAGUGCUCGCUUUCUGCACACUGCAAACUUCAUUACUCCCGGAUUAAUGGUUGUGUUCGGUGGAAAUACCCACAACGACACAUCCCAUAGUUACGGGGCAAAGUGUUAUAGCAAGGAUUUGAUAGUCUAUGAUGUUCUGUGCGACUCAUGGCAUACACAAAAUAUGCCAAAUGAAUUAGCAGCUGAUCUGGCUAGAUUUGGGCAUACUGCAGUGACGUUCGACGAAUCCCUUUAUAUUUACGGUGGAUUUGACGGACAACUUCUUUCUGACAUGCUGAAGUACACUCCGGGGAAUUGUAGCUACUUCACAAAGGAGGAAAAAUGUUUACAUGCAAGACCUGGGGUGAAAUGCAUAUGGGAUAAUCAAAAAAUGUUGUGUGUGCCAUUAUCAAAGGAAAACAGAAGUCUACUGCUUGCGCGGGACCAGGAAUAUUUCACCAUUUGCCCGCCGAAGAGUCGGCAGAUCAACACAGCAGAACACCUACAGGACGUCCAGAGGUGUGCCCAAUUGACCAACUGUCAGUCAUGCACUUCAACAACAUUUGGAUGCGUCUAUUGUGGAAAUGGCACAUGCUCGAAAGACAAAUGCCGUGAAGUGACUUUAGAUGGACAAAUACCCAUAUCUUCGUUGGAUCAGUGCCCUGACGAAGGCAGUAGCGUCUGUGAACAACUGCAUUGCUGCCACGCAUGCUCGGCAAACCCUAGCUGUCACUGGGAACAUGAAGCAAAUAGAUGUCGUCCUUCGGGAAAUCGAACAAAUGAUCCAGCGGAAAUUCCGAUCCAAUGCCCACCUCCCUGUGCCACACUCACAACAUGUACCAACUGUACCGAGGAUGAAUGUAUUUGGUGCCAAAAUGAACAACGCUGUGUCGAUCGCAAUGCAUAUACUGUCAGUUUUCCUUAUGGUCAAUGUCGUGAGUGGACGACACAUAAUCUGAAAUGUCGACCCGCUGUCUCUGGGUCGCAAUGUGGUUUUUAUAAAACGUGUAGCCAAUGUAGAGAUGAUCCGGCAUGCGGCUGGUGUGAUGAUGGGUCGGAAACGGGUCUCGGUAAGUGCCUGCCGGGAGGUGAUAGUGGACCUCAUGAAGAAAUGGAGUGUUUGGCAAGGAGGUGGCAUUUCACGCAUUGUCCCAGCUGCCAAUGUAACGGGCAUAGUUACUGUGUAGAUGGAAAAAAAUGUGAGCAACCUUGCUCGAAUUUGACUGAAGGCGCGAACUGUGAGAAGUGUCGACCAGGCUACUGGGGGAAUCCAAUAAACGGCGGUACAUGCCAAAAGUGUGAAUGCAAUGGACAAGCAACCAACUGCCAUAUGGAGACGGGAAAAUGUUUCUGCCACACAAAAGGGUUAGUCGGCGACCAUUGCGAGAAAUGCGAUACGCAGAACCACUAUCACGGUGAUCCAACCAAAGGGUCCUGCUACUAUGAUCUCACUAUUGACUAUCAGUUCACAUUCAACCUAUCGAAAAAGGAAGACAGACAUUACACUCAAAUCAAUUUUCGGAAUUCACCAGCCAAGGCAGACAUUGAUGCCGAUUUCACGAUUACUUGUAGCGUAGCGGCCAAAAUGAAUAUUACAGUGCGUACAGCUGGUGGUGCAGAAAAAGUCACCUUCAGUGGCGUGAAUUGCUCCACGUUCCGUCAUCGCUUCCCAAAGACCGAAUACCAAUUCGGUGUUGAAGAUAAUAUCACGCUGACCACGUUUUAUGUGUAUGUGUAUGACUUUCAACCGCCGUUGUGGAUACAGAUAGCAUUCUCACAGUAUCCGAAACUGAAUUUGCAACAGUUUUUCAUAACGUUCUCAUCGUGCUUCCUCUUGCUGCUUUUAAUGGCGGCUAUUUUAUGGAAAAUUAAACAAAAAUAUGACAUGUUCCGUCGGCGACAACGAUUGUUCGUUGAGAUGGAACAAAUGGCGUCCCGGCCAUUUUCUCAGGUUCUGGUAGAAAUCGAAAAUAGAGAAAAUCUUGAAAUCAUGCAAACUAUCGAAAGUGUUACAUCAACGAAAAAGCGCAAAAAGGAUUCACCCAGUCCUAUUGCGCUAGAACCAUGCAGUGGGAACAGAGCUGCAGUUCUAUCACUUCUAGUCCGGUUACCAACAGGUGGUCUUCAGCAUGCUCCGCCUGGCCAGGCAGCUGGUUUAGCUGUGGCCAGUGCAUUAGUCACAUUAGGAAACCCACGACGACCGUCAAUAGAACACGCGAAAGAGCCUAAAUCGAAACGAAAACAAAGUCAGCAUCCAGAUAGUGUACAUAAUUGAUGAUGACUAUAUUCAAAAGUGAAGGGAUAUUCAAGGAUAUAUAUAUGAUUAUGAAAAUGAAGGAUAUUUUACGAAUAUCUACGAAAAUGCAAAAUUUAACAAAAUUUUAGCUGAUAACUUGAAGGGAGACGGAAACAACACCAGAAAUAAAUCGUAUUGUGAAAGCUGCAUUAAUGAAGGGAAAACAUUCAAGAAAACUUCUCUCCUCUGCAGCUCAUUUUAACUUACGUUCGUAAUUAUGUAACUCUUAGUAACCUAGAGAAAUGAAUAUAUUUUGAUUAUAUAGUAUCGCAAACGCCUCCCGGCGGGGCAACAGUCAUAAACGUACUAUGUAAAUGCAGUUGAUACGGAUCACCAUCGAUUUUGUCUAUAGACCUUAGACGCAAUGCAAAGUUAAAGCAAAAAAUCAUAAUUUUAUAUUUAAUCGAAACUGUCGCAAUUUAAGCUGUUGUUCAUAGAUAAGGUGCAGAGAGAAAUACUCAUACUAUAAAUAAAUGCAAAUAUAAUUAUGUUCAAAGAUGUCUGAAAGCCAAGCAACAAUAAAGUGUGGACAACAUCAGAGCAGAAAGGACGUGUAAGACGAUUCGAUAUGUUUGAGAACAACAGAAUGAUUUUAAAUCUUCACUUUCAUUGAAAUUGUUUACUAUUGUGAUACAUUUUAUAAAGAGAAUGAGUGGGGGCGGAAGGGAUUGAUGUAUUUGGAAGAAAGUCGACUAGUGCGAGUCAGUAGCUGACUAAAUCAAAUGGAGCUUGAUGCGAAACUACUCGUGCUGUGUGUUCAGGGCGGGAGGAAUUAUAAGUGUACAAUGCAACACUACGUAAUGGCAAACGCAUUUUUCUUACAUAAAAAGUAAAGCAGAAUUAAUAACGCUAUUUGAAACAAAGAAGAGACAGUUGGUGCAAAAACAACAAACAUGCGAAUCAUACAGGUACAGUGGUAGUAAUAUUAUAAUAAUGUAUUCAAAAUCCACAUGCAUUUUUGUAAAGUAUGAAAGUGAUAACACAAACUGAAGAAAAAACGAAAAAAUAAGAAUGAGAAGAACAAAAUAAAACAUUUUUAUCUUAAAUGCAUAAAGAAUAUAAAGUAUAAAGUUAUUUUCAUAGAGAUUGAGAGACUACAACGUAAUUAAUCUUCAUGAUGAGUGAAUACAUAUAACUCGUAUAAUGGCAUUUUAACUAAAGACAUUUUACUUGUUUCAGUUUAACAUACUAUUUCAUUAGUCUAAUUACACAUUAUACAUACGCUGCGUAUUAUUACAAUAUGCUUUUUAUUUUCCGUACGUUUUUAUUUUGUAUUUAUUUAUGACUUAGUUUGUAAAAAGAAUAUAAUUUUUAAUUUAGUGUAUAUCCCCAAUUAUUAUUUUUAUAUAGAAAUACAUUGUCUAAAUAAUAA
rnacentral:misc_RNA from 1 species